GGUGGGAGGCAGGUCCCCACCCUGUUCCCACGGUGGGGAGGGUGGGUCUGCCCCCUGUUCCCAUGGUGGAGGGAGGGUAUCCCCGUCCUGCCACCCUGGGUGGGGAGUGAAUCCCCACCUGGCUCCUGUGGGGGUAGAACUGGGCCCCUCCCUGGACCCAGUGAGGGAGCCGGGCCCCCUGGCCCCUGUGGGGGUGGGGUGCCGGGGGGACCCAAGGGAUGGGGUCCCUGGGGAUGAUGAAGAAGCUAUAGCCUCAGCUGUUCCUGUUAUGUAUGUUGGUAAAACAAGGAUAAAUUGACACAACCAGCCCUUCUCUUACCAAAAUAUAAAAGAAAUCAGUAAAACCCAAAGAGAGUUUGGUAGAAAUAGUGAAAUCCUUAAAGGAAUGGUGAGACCUACUUUAACAUCUCAUGAGUUAGUUCCAGCCAAUCUCAGAGACCUCUUCUGCUGUCUCCUAACCUCCUCAAAGUUCAAUCUUUGGGACAACACAUGGAAGAGAUUCUUAAAAAGUCUCCUUGUUGAGCUCAAGCAAAGCACCCAGGAUGCAAAAGAUGCAGAUGAUAUUGAGGUCACAUUUGAACAUCUAUGUGGUGAGGGGAUGUGGACUAAACCUGAUGAGGACCAGGCUCGAGUGCUAACAAAAUCCAUUUUAGAUAAGAUCUGUGGCGUGGCAGAAAAGGUUUUUAACCAGUUGCCAGUGACUGAAACUCAGAGCAGCUAUGUUAACAUUAAACAGUUUCCCUCAGGAAGUUUUUUGCAGUUUGUCAACCGGCUUCAAGCACAAAUACAAAUGCAAGUGAAAGUAACAGUGGCACAGGCAGAGCUGAUUAAGGAGAUGGCUCAAAGGAAUGCCAACAAGGCCUACCACAGGGUGACUGCCGAUUGAUCCUCCAUCUACCAUAGCGCAGCUGAUAGAGGUCUACUCAUUGGGCAGUCAUUGGAGUAGACCUGCAGGACAAUUCACAAGAUGUGACAGGACUGGAUAUGACUGUAAUACCUGUUCUGACAGUACCAGUGGUCUGACUUUCCAGCUUUGACUGAAAAAAAAAAAAU